GAGUGCUUGCACUUUGCUGACGACCGGCGCACGGGUGCGUAACGCGUAUGCAAUCUACCUCUUACUGAGGGAUAGCCCAUGGAAACGUGGAUUAACACCUCAUGGUAUUUUAAAUUGGCAUCAAUUUAAGAUUAAAGGUUACGGUAAGAGAUGAGCAUGCGUCCUAUUAGCUAGAUGGUAAGGUAACGGCUUACCAUGGCAACGAUAGGUAGGGGUCCUGAGAGGGAGAUCCCCCACACUGGUACUGAGACACGGACCAGACUCCUACGGGAGGCAGCAGUGAGGAAUAUUGGACAAUGGGCGAGAGCCUGAUCCAGCCAUGCCGCGUGCAGGAAGACUGCCCUAUGGGUUGUAAACUGCUUUUGUAUAGGAAGAAACCUUUCCUCGUGAGGAAAAUUGACGGUACUAUACGAAUAAGGAUCGGCUAACUCCGUGCCAGCAGCCGCGGUAAUACGGAGGAUCCAAGCGUUAUCCGGAAUCAUUGGGUUUAAAGGGUCCGUAGGCGGGUUUAUAAGUCAGUGGUGAAAGUCUGCAGCUUAACUGUAGAACUGCCAUUGAUACUGUAGAUCUUGAAUCAUUAUGAAGUGGUUAGAAUGUGUAGUGUAGCGGUGAAAUGCAUAGAUAUUACACAGAAUACCGAUUGCGAAGGCAGAUCACUAAUAAUGUAUUGACGCUGAUGGACGAAAGCGUAGGUAGCGAACAGGAUUAGAUACCCUGGUAGUCUACGCCG
rnacentral:rRNA from 1 species